UCGCAUUGGAUUAAAGAUCAUAUUUGAGUGCCAAUUUUCCAUGAAAAAGGCAAUCAUCCAACGAGGUUAGAAAAGAAGAGGAGGAGAUAGAGAGAAGCUGCAAGCAGAGAUGGCGCGAGUCGUGCGACAGAGGAGACAAGCACAGGGAGCGGAGGCAAGUAAUGCAGGCAAGGAAUAAAUGGGUAGAAAACAAGCCCAAGGUUCUCGUGAUCGCCCUCUUUCCAUCUCACCUAAGAAGAUUCCACACGCCACUCUUUAACUCUUCAACUUGCCACAGGAUUCAGAUCAAGAACCGGUUUCGUCUCUGCUUACGCCGAGGAAGCUGGCUGAUUCCAAAUCUGCCUUGGGACAAUGUGUUUCUUCGAGUAACACUCGGUUGUUGUCUGUGCUUCUUCCUUUGAGAUCCAUGAAGCGCCACUUGGCGGUGGAACACUCGUGGGAGAAGAACAAGUUAGGUUGGGUCAUUUAAGAGCUGGUAGUCCACGGUCUGGAGUGGUGUUCUAACCUGCAUGCGUGUCUGCUGCCACAAUGUCAUUUGUCUUUUGUUCUAUCUCAAGAAUUUAAAGGAUGUAUUGUUCUAUAUCACAGUGCAUACGACAUGGAGGAUGAAAUCAUAAUUUUGAAGCUGCUUCUCUUGUUUUAAUGGCAUUCAUUUUCCUGAGUCCCA
rnacentral:lncRNA from 1 species